CCAGCCGGCCGGAUGACCGCUGCCGCAAGGGAGAGGAAAGUCCGGGCUCCACGGAGACACGGCGCCGGAUAAUGUCCGGCGGGGGCGACCCCAGGGAAAGCGCCACAGAAAUCGAACCGCCGCGCAGGACGCGGUAAGGGUGAAAAGGUGCGGUAAGAGCGCACCGCUCGGACGGCAACGUCCGAGGCAUGGCAAGCCCCGCCGGGAGCAAGACCGAAUAGGGGCGACAGAGGGCGCAAGCCUUCAGCCCGUCUCCGGGCCCGUCGCCCGGGUUGGUCGCCAGAGGCGGCCGGCAACGGCCGUCCCAGAUGAAUGGUCGUCACGCGAGGCCUGAGGGAAACCUUGCCUCGCCAUACAAAACCCGGCUUACAGGCCGGCUGGCUCU
rnacentral:RNase_P_RNA from 1 species